AGUGAACGCUGGCGGUAGGCCUAACACAUGCAAGUCGAACGGCAGCACAGGAGAGCUUGCUCUCUGGGUGGCGAGUGGCGGACGGGUGAGGAAUACAUCGGAAUCUACCUUUUCGUGGGGGAUAACGUAGGGAAACUUACGCUAAUACCGCAUACGACCUACGGGUGAAAGUGGGGGACCGCAAGGCCUCACGCGAUUAGAUGAGCCGAUGUCCGAUUAGCUAGUUGGCGGGGUAAUGGCCCACCAAGGCGACGAUCGGUAGCUGGUCUGAGAGGAUGAUCAGCCACACUGGAACUGAGACACGGUCCAGACUCCUACGGGAGGCAGCAGUGGGGAAUAUUGGACAAUGGGCGCAAGCCUGAUCCAGCCAUACCGCGUGGGUGAAGAAGGCCUUCGGGUUGUAAAGCCCUUUUGUUGGGAAAGAAAUCCUGUCGAUUAAUACUCGGUGGGGAUGACGGUACCCAAAGAAUAAGCACCGGCUAACUUCGUGCCAGCCGCCGCGGUAAGAC
rnacentral:rRNA from 1 species